GGAAUUUUGGACAAUGGGCGAAAGCCUGAUCCAGCCAUGCCGCGUGAGUGAAGAAGGCCUUCGGGUUGUAAAGCUCUUUCGGACAGAAAGAAAUCGCACGGACUAAUACUCUGUGUGGAUGACGGUACUGUAAGAAGAAGCACCGGCUAACUACGUGCCAGCAGCCGCGGUAAUACGUAGGGUGCGAGCGUUAAUCGGAAUUACUGGGCGUAAAGGGUGCGCAGGCGGUUAUAUAAGACAGAUGUGAAAUCCCCGGGCUCAACCUGGGAACUGCGUUUGUGACUGUAUGACUAGAGUACGGUAGAGAGGGGUGGAAUUCCUGGUGUAGCAGUGAAAUGCGUAGAUAUCAGGAGGAACAUCGAUGGCGAAGGCAGCCCCUUGGACCUGUACUGACGCUCAUGCACGAAAGCGUGGGGAGCAAACAGGAUUAGAUACCCGGG
rnacentral:rRNA from 1 species